CUGCUGCUCAAAGUAAAGACCGUUUGAGAAGGCGGGGAGAUCGAAGAAGCUGCUUUAUCUUACAGUCACCCAAGGGGGAACGCCUUCUUCCUUCCCAGAGUGGAGUGGCAGUGGGUCCAGGAUUCUGGGAUAUGCACAGGGUCUGCGCCCUGCGCCCUGUCCGCGCUGAAGCUGGACUUGUCAUUGGUUUGCAACAGCAUGGUGAAGAAGUGUGGUGUGGAUGGAUGGACGGGCCUCUCAGGCACAGGAAAUACUCAAAAGCCCAGUAUUAACCAAACAUGUUUCUCUGUUUUGUCUUUGA
rnacentral:lncRNA from 1 species